AUUCUGAUCCCCAAAAAAUACUCUAUAAAAAAUGCACACAAAAAUAUGGGGUAAUGAAAUACGGUGGACGCAACAAAAUUGAUUUAACUGAACCAAUUCGUCGAUCAGUGCAAGUCCCAAUCCUUCACUUCUUUCGACCCUUCACUUCCUUUUUCGGUUAUUACAUUGAAAGUGUUGGUGUUAAUAUUCCUCGGCGUCUGGAGGAUACAAAGCGUGGAGUUGAGUGUGUUCAACUCGUUGGAGCUGCGAGUCGGUGAAGUUUGCGCACAGCUUCAGAAUCGAUCGAAUGUUAGGAGUUGGAACAGUGUUGAUUCGAGGUUCCGGUUCGCAAUUUUAGUAUUUCAGUCUAAGGAUUGUUGCUUUGUUUAGCCUGAUUAAUUUGCAAUUUUCAGCUUUGUUCAUCAAUAAAAGGUCAAUUUCUCAAUUUUCAUUCUCAUUUCAUUUUGUUGCGAUAGCUUGUUGCUCGUGUUGAUUGAUUUGUUAUUAUACAUUGUUUGAGUAGCAUGUCUUAGUUUUCAUCUGAAUUGUUUUAAUUAGUUUUUAUUUCGAUUGUGAUGUAUGUAGUCUUGGUUCUUGAAUAAAUGCUUUUAAUUGGGUAGAUGGAAAAUUUGGAGUUGUUUCUUUCUUGGCGAGGAAUAAGAAUGUGCCAUACGGCGGGUCUUGAAUCAUAAGGAAUUUGGCCCAAGUAAUAGAUCAUGUUAGCUAGCCUAUUUACUCCUCAAUAAUAUCUUGUCCAUAAAUUUAGUAUCACAACAAUCUUCAAGAUUAGGAAAAUAAUUCAAAUGCGCUAGUUGCUUUAGGCGCGAUAAAUAAUAAAUCAUCAUGGCUAUGCGUACGGUUUUCGUGGCAUGGUUACGAUACAUAAAUUCCAAUUCGGGUGUACAUUUCAUGUGACCCGACCGUAAUUUCGAAUAAUAAUAGAAAUAUGCAUGUUGUAAAUCGCGGGUGCAUUUCAUGUGACGCAGUUCGUAAGUAUAUGACAAUCAUGAGUUAUCCUAAAAACAUUAAAAACGGUAAGAAAGUUAAAAAUGCAAUAGGUUUAAAACAUGUAGUAAAUCAGAUAAUAGGCCAAUUAAUAAUAGUUUAAGCGACCGUGCUAGAAUCACGGAAUCCGGGAAUGCCUAACACCUUCUCCUGGGUUAACAAAAUUCCUUACCCGGAUUUCUGUGUUCGAAGACCAUAAAUAAGAGUCAACUUUCUCGAUUCGGAAUUUUAAAUCGGUGACUUGGGAUACCAUAAAUUAUCCCAAGUGGCGACUAUGAACUUAAAUAAUAAAUCCCGUUUUAAUUGUCACUUAAAUUGAAAAAAAAAAUCUCUUAUACCCCCUCCGGGGGUGGUAAAAAAGAGGUGUGACAUUCCUUACCCAAACUUUGUUUCCGCAGACCGAUAAAAAUAGAGUCAAACCUUUCUUUGACUAGGGAUUUAUAUAAAAGGUGACUUGGAACACCAAAAAAUUAAUUCCAAUGGUCGACUCUGUAAAUAAAUAAUUCCUACUCAAAUUUGUCACUUCAAUUGGAAAAACUCUUUAACUCACAAUCCACAACACAUAAUAUUUACAUUUAUCUUUUGGAGGGGUAAAAAAGGGGUGUGACAAUGCACUAGUAAUUUUUUUACUCAUGAAUAAAACUCGAGUUAAACGUGUGCUAAUUGAUUCAGGUAGCUCGGUCAACAUCAUUCGAUCGAGGGUCGUAGAACAGCUCGGCCUACAAGACCAGAUCAUAC
rnacentral:lncRNA from 1 species